rnacentral:rRNA from 1 species
GAUGAACGCUGGCGGCGUGCCUAAUACAUGCAAGUCGAGCGAACGGACGAGAAGCUUGCUUUUCUGGUGUUAGCGGCGGACGGGUGAGUAACACGUGGAUAACCUACCUAUAAGACUGUGAUAACUUCGGGAAACCGGAGCUAAUACCGGAUAAUAUUUUGAACCGCAUGGUUCAAAAGUGAAAGACGGUCUUGCUGUCACUUAUAGAUGGAUCCGCGCUGCAUUAGCUAGUUGGUAAGGUAACGGCUUACCAAGGCAACGAUGCAUAGCCGACCUGAGAGGGUGAUCGGCCACACUGGAACUGAGACACGGUCCAGACUCCUACGGGAGGCAGCAGUAGGGAAUCUUCCGCAAUGGGCGAAAGCCUGACGGAGCAACGCCGCGUGAGUGAUGAAGGUCUUCGGAUCGUAAAACUCUGUUAUUAGGGAAGAACAUAUGUGUAAGUAACUGUGCACAUCUUGACGGUACCUAAUCAGAAAGCCACGGCUAACUACGUG